rnacentral:rRNA from 1 species
CACGUAGGGCGCAAGCGUUGUCCGGAAUUAUUGGGCGUAAAGAGCUCGUAGGCGGUCUGUUACGUCUGCUGUGAAAACCCGGGGCUUAACCCUGGGCUUGCAGUGGAUACGGGCAGACUUGAGUACUGCAGGGGAGACUGGAAUUCCUGGUGUAGCGGUGGAAUGCGCAGAUAUCAGGAGGAACACCGGUGGCGAAGGCGGGUCUCUGGGCAGUAACUGACGCUGAGGAGCGAAAGCGUGGGGAGCGAACAGG